UACGAAGGGGGCUAGCGUUGCUCGGAAUGACUGGGCGUAAAGGGCGCGUAGGCGGACGGCUUUGUCGGGCGUGAAAUUCCAGGGCUUAACCUUGGGGCUGCGUUCGAGACGGGUUGUCUAGAGUUUGGAAGAGGGUCGUGGAAGUUCCCAGUGUAUGAGGUGAAAUUCGUAGAUAUUGGGAAGAACACCGGUGGCGAAGGCGGCGACCUGGUCCUUGACUGACGCUGGAGGCGACGAAAGCGUGGGGAGCAAACAGG
rnacentral:rRNA from 1 species